rnacentral:rRNA from 1 species
UACGGGGGGGGCAAGCGUUGUUCGGAAUUACUGGGCGUAAAGGGCUCGUAGGCGGCCAGCUAAGUCGGACGUGAAAUCCCCAGGCUCAACCUGGGAACUGCGUCCGAUACUGGAUGGCUUGAAUCCGGGAGAGGGAUGCAGAAUUCCAGGUGUAGCGGUGAAAUGCGUAGAUAUCGGAAGGAACAUCAGUGGCGAAAGCGACUUCCUGGACCAAUACUGACGCUCAUGUGCGAAAGCGUGGGGAGCAAACAGG